ACGAACGCUGGCGGCGUGCCUAACACAUGCAAGUCGCGCGAGAAAAGGGGGGCAACCCCCUGAGUAAAGCGGCGCACGGGUGAGUAACACGUAGGUAAUCUACCCUCGAGUCCAGGAUAACCCGCCGAAAGGUGGGCUAAUACCGGAUAUGACCACGGGAGUUUCGGCUCCUGCGGUGAAAGGUGGCCUCUGCUUGCAAGCUACCGCUCGGAGAUGAGCCUGCGGGCCAUUAGCUAGUUGGUGAGGUAACGGCUCACCAAGGCGAUGAUGGCUAGCUGGUCUGAGAGGAUGGCCAGCCACACUGGGACUGAAACACGGCCCAGACUCCUACGGGAGGCAGCAGUGGGGGAUAUUGCGCAAUGGGCGAAAGCCUGACGCAGCGACGCCGCGUGGGUGAUGAAGGCCUUCGGGUCGUAAAGCCCUGUCGAGGGGAACGAAACGGUCUCGA
rnacentral:rRNA from 1 species